rnacentral:rRNA from 1 species
CAUAGGUUGAGGAGGCGGUAACCGUGGCGGUGGAGGAGGAGGAUGAGGUAGCCAACACUGUUUAUAUAUUUUUUUUUUAAUUGGGGUAGCCCCCAAAAUAUUGGGAUAUAUAAAAAAAAGACAACUCUGUUCCGUAGAGUAGCUGUUGACAUUAUAGUUGCGCAGGAACUUUGUUGACUCUUGAGAACCUCAUCCAGUUUCUGCGCCUACCAUGGUGACCACGGGUAAUGGGGAAUCAGGGUUCCAUUCCGUACAGGGACCCUGAGAAACGGCUACCACAUGCAAGGAAGACAGCAGACGCGCAAAUGACCCACUCCCAACACGGGAAGGUAGUGACG